UCAUCAGACAUAGGAAACAAAAAGGCAUCUUUUUGUUUUUAAAAGACCUUCUUAUGAAGGUAUGCUUAAAGAGGGGCUUGCGCCACAUUAGUUAGUUGGUAGAGUAAAAGCCUACCAAGACGAUGAUGUGUAGCUGGACUGAGAGGUUGAACAGCCACAUUGGGACUGAGACACGGCCCAAACUCCUACGGGAGGCAGCAGUAGGGAAUUUUCGGCAAUGGAGGAAACUCUGACCGAGCAACGCCGCGUGAACGAUGAAGUAUUUCGGUAUGUAAAGUUCUUUUAUUGAAGAAGAAAAAGUAGUGGAAAAACUAUAUUGACGUUAUUCAAUGAAUAAGCCCCGGCUAACUAUGUGCCAGCAGCCGCGGUAAGACAUAGGGGGCGAGCGUUAUCCGGAAUUAUUGGGCGUAAAGGGUGCGUAGGCUGUUAGAUAAGUCUAUAAUUUAAUUUCAGUGCUUAACGCUGUCUUGUUAUAGAAACUGUCUUGACUAGAGUGAGAUAGAGGCAAGCGGAAUUCCAUGUGUAGCGGUAAAAUGUGUAAAUAUAUGGAGGAACACCAGAAGCGUAGGCGGCUUGCUGGGUCUUUACUGACGCUGAGGCACGAAAGCGUGGGUAGCAAACAGGAUUAGAUACCCUGGUAGUCCACGCCGUAAACGAUGAGUACUAAGUGUCGGGGUAAAACUCGGUACUGAAGUUAACACAUUAAGUACUCCGCCUGAGUAGUACGUACGCAAGUAUGAAACUUAAAGGAAUUGACGGGACUCCGCACAAGCGGUGGAUCAUGUUGUUUAAUUCGAAGAUACACGAAAAAUCUUACCAGGUCUUGACAUACUCUGCAAAGCUAUAGAAAUAUAGUGGAGGUUAUCAGGGAUACAGGUGGUGCAUGGUUGUCGUCAGUUCGUGUCGUGAGAUGUUAGGUUAAGUCCUAAAACGAGCGCAACCCUUGUCGUUAAUUGCCAGCACGUAAUGGUGGGGACUUUAGCGAGACUGCCAAUUAAACAUUGGAGGAAGGUGAGGAUUACGUCAAAUCAUCAUGCCCCUUAUGAUCUGGGCUACAAACGUGAUACAAUGGCUGUGACAAAGAGUAGCUGAAACGCGAGUUUUUAGCCAAUCUCAAAAAAGCAGUCUCAGUUCGGAUUGAAGUCUGUAACUCGACUUCAUGAAGUUGGAAUCGCUAGUAAUCGCGAAUCAGCAUGUCGCGGUGAAUACGUUCGGUCGGGUUUCAU
rnacentral:rRNA from 1 species